rnacentral:lncRNA from 1 species
AACAAUAGUUACGGUAAAGAGGUUUCAGCCUACUUAUCAGGACUUGUGCCCAUAAGUUUAUACAUGAUAACACAGAGCCAGUAUUUAAGAAGAAUACUAUAAAGAUAAACUUAUCCUAUGUUCCCAUAACCGGAAACCUCCACGUAGGAUUCAAAUGCUGACCUGGCAUCCCACACGUAUCUCAUAGCCUCCCAUCCUCCCGCCUGGCUCCCGUCUCUAGCUACU